AUAAAAACCAUGGGCUUCGACGUCGCGUAAAAAUAAAAGCUUUAAACGCCAUAUAAAAACAAUAAAAAAAUGUAAAAUGUAUGCAUUUAAUAUUCGAGUAUAAUCUUAAAACGUGUCGGACUGUAAAAGCGCCAAUUAGUUUAUACGACUUUUUUUUUAUUAAAAGACUUAAAGGUGGACGUAGCUAAUUUUCGCUUACUUGACGACGGCUUACCGUUUGCGCUUUAAGUGCCAAAACGACAAAUGCAAACAGUUGUUAUCGCUACGUUUCACCAGCGUGAGUGUCCAAGCAGGGGACACUUUGCCGAGACCUUCUUAAAUGUACAUAUUGCGUCACAAAACCUCAGUGUUGGGGUGUCGGUGGAUGACGCAGGGUUUUCUCAGUUAAGUUUACACAGGAUAGUGUUGACAUAAGCAGCUCCCGCAGAAGAAGACGACGGUGGGGCAAAUAAUCCGAGUCACAAGACUUCUUCUCCUUCUUCAGUGAGCCGCACGACUGCUUUCUUCCCUCCCAGGCGCUGAAGGGAUGGAAAACCCCGGGUACUGCUCCGGGAGCUUUGACGGCCUUCAUCAUCCCAGCGAUGACGAUGAUGACGAGAUGGUGGACAUCGCAGGAGCCACGCUGGACUUCUCGACCACGGACGACGUCCCUCCGCUCAGCUCAGGUGGGGCUGCUGCUGCUGGUCUUUCCAACGCCUGGUUUCAGUGCUGAGCUUUUUAAAGUUCAUAAACCAUUUCAACUAAACUCUUAUCAGGGAGUUGUGAGGCAGCUUCAAAGCACAAGUCAUGUAACUUGCUUCAGCUAACUCUGGCAUUAAAAGUCCCCCUCAAAGUAAAUAAAUACAAAAAAAGAGUUUAAAUUCAGGAAUCACUUUCAGCCUGUUUCCU